rfam:Clostridium sp. CAG:127 genomic scaffold, scf74
UAUGUUUGAAGCUUAGAAGUUCUUGAUGUUCUGCAGAUAAAUAGCCAUGUUUGAACACGAUGUUCAAACAAGACGCCACUGAGCCAUGGAUGGCGAAUUGGCGUCGGUGGCGUAUGGAUAGAACAAUUGAAUCAGAACAUUUAGAACUUCUUGGCUUCAAUACAU